rnacentral:rRNA from 1 species
AGAGUUUGAUCCUGGCUCAGGACUAACGCUGGCGGCAUGCAUCAUACAUGCAAGUCGAACGGGGUUUGUUGGGCUUGCUCAGCAAACCUAGUGGCGCACGGGUGAGUAACGCGUAGAUAACCUGCCCUGGAAACCGGGACAACGGAUCGAAAGGUCCGCUAAUACCGGAUACGAUCCUCGUACCGCAUGGUGUGGGGAUGAAAGGGUGGCCUCUGAUCCAAGCUGCCGUUGCAGGAUGGGUCUGCGUGCUAUUAGCUAGUUGGUGGGGUAAAGGCCUACCAAGGCAAUGAUGGUUAGCCGGCUUGAGAGAGUGACCGGCCACACUGGAACUGAGAUACGGUCCAGACUCCUACGGGAGGCAGCAGUAGGGAAUCUUCCGCAAUGGGCGAAAGCCUGACGGAGCAAUGCCGCGUGAGGGAUGAAGGCCUUCGGGUCGUAAACCUCUGUUGUUAGGGAAGAAAUGCGUGCGGGUAAAUAGCCCGUACGUUUGACGGUACCUGACGAGGAAGCCCCGGCUAAUUACGUGCCAGCAGCCGCGGUAACACGUAAGGGGCAAGCGUUGUCCGGAUUCACUGGGCGUAAAGGGCGCGUAGGCGGUUUGGUCAGUCAGGGGUGAAAGCUCUAGGCUCAACCUAGAAAUUGCCCUUGAAACUGCCAGACUUGAGUACUUCAGGGGAAAGUGGAAUUCCUGGUGUAGCGGUGAAAUGCGUAGAUAUCAGGGAGAACACCGGUGGCGAAGGCGGCUUUCUGGGAAGUAACUGACGCUGAGGCGCGAAAGCUGGGGAGCGAACAGGAUUAGAUACCCUGGUAGUCCUAGCUGUAAACGAUGAGUACUAGGUGUUGGGGGUAACACCCUCGGUGCCGGCGCAAACGCAUUAAGUACUCCGCCUGGGGACUACGGCCGCAAGGUUGAAACUCAAAGGAAUUGACGGGGGCCCGCACAAGCGGUGGAGCACGUGGUUCAAUUCGAUGCAACGCGAAGAACCUUACCUGGCCUUGACAUCCCUGGCAACCCUAUGAAAGUAGGGGUUCCUCGCGAGAGGACUAGGUGACAGGUGGUGCAUGGCUGUCGUCAGCUCGUGUCGUGAGAUGUUGGGUUAAGUCCCGCAACGAGCGCAACCCUUGCCGUUAGUUACCAGCAUUUAGUUGGGGACUCUAACGGGACUGUCGGUAACAAGCCGGAGGAAGGUGGGGAUGACGUCAAGUCAG